GCCGAGGUAGCUUAGUGGACUAAAGCGCCGGCCUUGAGAGCCGGUGUCCCUAAUGGGGACACGUGGGUUCAAAUCCCUCCCUCGGCG
rnacentral:tRNA from 2 species